AUGACCUGGGCUCUUCUCAUCCUCGGACGCCUCAGUCAAAGCCCAGGAACCUGGGCCCAGAAUGUCCUAAGUCAGCCUCCCUCAGUGUCUGGGACUCAGGGACAGACAGUCACCAUCUCCUGUACAGGAACCAGCAAUGACAUUGGGAGAUAUAAGUAUGUCGCCUGGUACCAGCAGCAGGAGGGCACAGCCCCCAAAAUGCUGAUUUAUAAUGUCAAUAAGCGGCCAUCAGGGAUCCCUGAUCACUUCUCUGGCUCCAAGUUAGGAAAUGCAGCGACUCUGACCAUCUCUGGGCUUAAGCCUGAGGAUGAGACUGAUUAUUACUGUUCAUCCAGAACCAGCCUGAAUUCACCAGUGUUUUGUUUCUCUUUCUUCAGGAACCUGGGCCCAGAAUGUUCUCAAUCAGCCUCUCUCAGUGUCUGGGACUCAGGGUAA